rnacentral:hammerhead_ribozyme from 1 species
AUCCAGUUGACGAGUCCCAAAUGGGACGAAACGCGCGUCGUGGAU